rnacentral:rRNA from 1 species
AAACAUUGCCUUUAGAAAAUUUAUUAAAGGUUCAUCCUGCCCAGUGAAACAUUUUUCAACGGCCGCGGUACCCUAACCGUGCAAAGGUAGCAUAAUCAUUUGCCUUUUAAUUGUAGGCUAGUAUGAAUGGACAAACGAAAUUUCACCUGUAUCAAUUUUAUAAAAUAAAAAUUAGACUUCAUGUGAAGAUACAUGAAUCCUAUUGAAAGACAAGAAGACCCUAUAGAGUUUUAGUAGAUAUUUUCCCCAAUAAUUAACCCUACUUUGGUUGGGGCGACCUAGGAUUAACUAAAACAUCCUCAUAUUAACAGAGUGAUAACUCUCCCUAAUGAUCCUGAUAAUCAGAUUCUUAAAACAAACUACCUUAGGGAUAACAGGCUUAUCUUCCUAAAGAGUCCAAAUUGACAGGAAGGUCUGGCACCUCGAUGUUGGCUUAGAGUAACCUAUUAAUGCAAAAGUUAAUUUAGGUCGGUUUGUUCAACCGUUAAAUCUCUACAUGAU